rnacentral:ncRNA from 1 species
AGUUGUCUCGCCAGAGGCACUGCUGGGUAGCUACAUGCGGAAGAGAUAAGUGCUGAAAGCAUCUAAGCACGAAACUUGCCUUAAGAUGAGUUCUCCCUGACUAUAAGUCAGUAAGGGUUGUUGGAGACUACGACGUAGAUAGGUGUGGUGUGUAAGUGUAGUGAUACAUUGAGCUAACACAUACUAAUUGCCCGAGAGGCUUAACCAU